CCUANGGGUGGCAGCAGUCGAGAAUUUUUCUCAAUGGGGGCAACCCUGAAGGAGCGACGCCGCGUGGAGGAUGAAGGCUUUCGGGUUGUAAACUCCUGUCAUUUGAGAACAAGUGGCCGAACUUAACUACUUCGGCCUUGAUAGUAUCAGAAGAGGAAGGGACGGCUAACUCUGUGCCAGCAGCCGCGGUAAUACAGAGGUCCCGAGCGUUGUUCGGAUUCAUUGGGCGUAAAGGGUGCGUAGGUGGCGUGGUAAGUCGGGUGUGAAAUUUCGGAGCUUAACUCCGAAACUGCAUUCGAUACUGCCGUGCUUGAGGACGGGAGAGGAGACUGGAAUUUACGGUGUAGCAGUGAAAUGCGUAGAGAUCGUAAGGAAGACCAGUGGCGAAGGCGGGUCUCUGGACAGUUCCUGACACUGAGGCACGAAGGCCAGGGGAGCAAACGGGAUUAGAUACCCUANUANUC
rnacentral:rRNA from 1 species